GGCUCGGUGGUGGAUGGUUCGCACCUGCUUCCUAUACGUGCAGUCAAGGGCAGCCAGCAGGAGGGGCCUGUUCGAACCAGGCCCGAGCCA